rnacentral:lncRNA from 1 species
AAUAUUUUGUUUCUUCUAAGUUAUUGGUAAGCUACAGAAUUAUGGAUGUGAAUAGGUACUGAUAUUCAAAAUUUUAUUCGAAUUCGAACUCAAAUAGGCCGGAUUUAUUCGAUGCUAAACAAGUAUGGUUUUGGAUAUAAGUGGAAAAAACGAAAAUCCAACAAAUUUAGAUUUGGGUAUGAAUUUUGUCAGUACAAAUUGAAUUAAUUUUAUAUUAUAUAAUAUAUAUGAAUAUUUGAUAUUAUAUUCAAAGUUGUAUUUUAAAAAUUUUAGAUUUUAACAUAAUUUAUUUUAAAAUAGAGUAAAGAUAAAUAAUUAUUUUAGAUUUUAAUUUUCGGGUGGGUUCGAGUUUCGGAUUUUGGUCGGAUUUUGUUUGGAUAUGAUUUUUCAAAAUACGUCGGGCUCGGAUUCAGGUUUAGGUUUUGAAAAGUCUAUCUGACCCAUUGACAUCUCUGCGUGGAAUUGCCUCUU